UCUCUCCCCUUCAGAAACGUAACAUCCCACUUUACCCCUUCGUCCCCUGAUAAUGCUAAUUUAAUUAACUUGCACUGAUCUCUUCAUCCCCUUCGUCCCCUGAUAACAUCUAGAACAGUAGAAAAACAAUUAACUUAGCACUCUCUCUUCAUCGAUCUGAUUUCCUUUGUCCCUAACAUUUCUCUUCAUCUUCUUCUCAUUCGUCUCCAAUAUCCAUAACAGAUUCGAUCUUUCUUUAUAAACCACCAAAAACACAGACCCACGGCGACAUCCCACUUUACCCAUCAGUAUCACCAUCGAGCAUCUUGAUUUACCCACACUCUUUGUAAAUGGGUUGGGUGUUGCAUACUUUUCCUCAAUAAUUCAGGUGUUCUUCUGCAAUCUCAGGUGUUCUUCUGCCGUGUAGAUUUCAUCUUGCUCGCCCAGAACUCAAGAACACAGGUUCAAAAUAUCCUGAUGCAUCUUGUGUCGAUCCACAAUAUCAUGGUUCGUCUUCGCAACCAGCACCACGAUUGUAUCUUUUGUUGUUUCUUUUUAUUGUAUUUCGACUUAUUUGUAUUAAUGCAAGUUUAACUAAAUUUUUAUAAUAUGAAUAUUAUU